GUUCGAGAAGAAUGAAAGGAAAAAAAGGAAGAGAGAAUUGAUUUUGUGUUGUGGAGAGUUGUAAAAGUGUGUCAUAUUUUUUUUGUCAGUUUUGAAACAAUUUUUUUUCUUUUUGUUUCUCACAACAAAGAAGAAACUUUUCCUUCUUCAAAACCAAGGAUUUUCGUUAAAAG
rnacentral:tRNA from 13 species